rnacentral:rRNA from 1 species
AACGAACGCUGGCGGCGUGGAUAAGACAUGCAAGUUGAACGCGAUUUUCACCGUAGCAAUACGGUGGAGAUUGAGUAGCGCAAGGGUGCGUAACACGUGAGAAUCUGCCAUGAAGUUGGGGAUAACUCGCUGAAAGGCGAGCUAAUACCGAAUGUGCCCGCAAGGGUAAAGCCGGGGAGCCGCAAGGUCCUGGCGCUUCUUGAUGAGCUCGCGGCCUAUCAGCUAGUUGGCGGGGUAAAGGCCCACCAAGGCGAAGACGGGUAGCUGGUCUGAGAGGACGACCAGCCACACUGGAACUGAGACACGGUCCAGACACCUACGGGUGGCAGCAGUCGAGAAUUUUUCUCAAUGGGCGCAGGCCUGAAGGAGCGACGCCGCGUGGGGGAUGAAGGGUUUCGAUCCGUAAACCCCUGUCAUUUGUGAACAAGGGUCGUCCGUGAACAGCGGACGGCUUGAUAGUAAUGAAAGAGGAAGGGACGGCUAACUCUGUGCCAGC